UAAUACUGUCAGGUAAUGACGCU
ensembl:miRNA mir-236 miscRNA